rnacentral:tRNA from 1 species
UGACGCUGGUGCUGUGGGGCGAGAUGCUGCUGCGGGCAGCGGCGAUUCAGGUGCUGGUGGCCUGCAUGCCGAUCGUUUCGGCGGGCGGCAUC